UACGGAGGGUGCAAGCGUUAUCCGGAUUCACUGGGUUUAAAGGGUGCGUAGGUGGGUUGGUAAGUCAGUGGUGAAAUCCCCGAGCUUAACUUGGGAACUGCCAUUGAUACUAUCAGUCUUGAAUAUUGUGGAGGUUAGCGGAAUAUGUCAUGUAGCGGUGAAAUGCUUAGAUAUGACAUAGAACACCAAUUGCGAAGGCAGCUGGCUACGCAUAUAUUGACACUGAGGCACGGAAAGCGUGGGGAUCAAAACAGG
rnacentral:rRNA from 1 species